GACGAACGCUGGCGGCGUGCUUAACACAUGCAAGUCGAACGGUGAAGCCCUUCGGGGUGGAUCAGUGGCGAACGGGUGAGUAACACGUGAGCAACCUGCCCCUGGCUCUGGGACAACCACUGGAAACGGUGGCUAAUACCGGAUACGACCCGCCUCGGCAUCGAGUGUGGGUGGAAAGUUUUUCGGCUGGGGAUGGGCUCGCGGCCUAUCAGCUUGUUUGUGAGGUGAAGGCUCACCAAGGCGACGACGGGUAGCCGGCCUGAGAGGGCGACCGGCCACACUGGGACUGAGACACGGCCCAGACUCCUACGGGAGGCAGCAGUGAGGAAUGUUGCACAAUGGGCGAAAGCCUGAUGCAGCGACGCCGCGUGAGGGAUGACGGCCUUCGGGUUGUAAACCUCUUUCAGCUCCGAAGAAGCGAAAGUGACGGUAGGAGCAGAAGAAGCACCGGCUAACUACGUG
rnacentral:rRNA from 1 species